rnacentral:rRNA from 1 species
CUGGUUGAUCCUGCCUGAACUGAUGUGUUCAUUUCAAAGAUUAAGCCAUGCAUGUAUAAGUAUAACCUGCCAGACAGGGAAACUGCGUACGGCUCAUUACACCAGCCUUAAUUUACUUGACCUUGACAACCUACUUGGAUAACUGUGGUAAUUCUAGAGCUAAUACAUGCACCAAAGCUCCGAUCCCUUGCUGGAGAGGAGCGCAUUUGUUCGCCACAAAACCAAGCGCCCUCACGGGCGUUCAGUGUUGACUCAGAAUAACUAAGCUGAUCGCACGGUCUUGCACCGGCGACGUGUCUUUCAAGUGUCUGCCUUAUCAACUUUCGAUGGUAGUGUACCUGACUACCAUGGUGAUGACGGGUAACGGAGGAUAAGGGUUCGACUCCGGAGAAGGGGCCUGAGAAAUGGCCACUACGUCUAAGGAUGGCAGCAGGCGCGCAAAUUACCCACUCUCAAUUCGAGGAGGUAGUGACGAGAAAUAACGAGACCGUUCUCACAAGAGGCCGGUCAUCGGAAUGGGUACAAUCUAAACCCUUUAACGAGUAUCUAUGAGAGGGCAAGUCUGGU